CUGCACAAUGGAAGCUCUCAUACUUCCUUCAGGGAGAAUGAAUAUUCCUUUAGUGCUAUACAGUUGAGGAGUUUUCAGGGCCACCAGCUUUGGAGCAGAGGCUGAGUGGUAGUAUAUUUCUCCUACAUUA